UGGUUGGAACCAGGAUCGUGUAGGGCGCGAACCUGACUGCAGAAGGGAUUUUGGAGGCGGUGGGAGCAGGGGUGCUCCCCCACCUCGCAUCCAUGGUGAGCCGAGAUCUGAGCAACAGCGAGAGGUAUGUGAUGAUGGGAGAGCAAGGCCCGUUGAAGACCCUAAAACACGAGAGCUGGGGAAAAAGAAAGUGAAACCACCUCCACCGUCAGGUACUUCCAAAGCGGUUAACUCCAUGAAAUGUUUUAGAUGCACUGAGGUAGGACAUCAUCAGCUAGAUUGCACCAAUGACCCGAUUUGUUAUAAAUGCAAACAACCUGGUCACAUGGCUGCAGAGUGCAACAGUAUGCUUAGCAGGAAGCUUAAGAUGUUUGGGUUUGCUGUUCCUGGUCAAGGUUUUUAUUCUAUUGAAGUUCCAGACAAGGUGAAGUCUGAGAAAUUUAGUGGUUUGAUCUCAGUUCUUGUUGGAGAAGCUACUGAGGAUAAGGUAGCCGAUGAGCUCAAGAACUUGGUAAAUGAGAAGUGGGACUUUCAGGUUAGAAAAUUUAUCUCAAGUGGGUACAGGGUGGCUUUUUCUGAUCAACAAUCUCUAGAUACCUUCUCUAAACUUUCUGAAAUUGUGCUUCCCAUCCAUGGCCUGAAAGUUAAGAUAUCCAAGUCCAUGGUGGAUCAUAAUGCUUCAGCUGUAUUGCAGCCAGCUUGGAUUAAAAUAUAUAGUGUACCAGGUUUUGCAAAAGAGGAAGACAUUAUUAGAGAGAUUACUACCUUAGUAGCUGAACCCAUCAAGGUGGAUGAAUUUAGCUUACUAAGGGAUGAACCAGUGAGGGUUAGAGUUAAUUGCAGGGAUCCUUCCAAACUCAAAAGAAUUGUGGAAAUCUUUUUCAAUGGAGUUGGAUAUGAUGUCCAGUUUAUGGCAGAGGGUGUCCAAGGGAAGACUCAAGGUAAGGGGGAUGGCCCUCCAGGAAAUCAGAAUAGGCAUGGUGAUGGCUCUAGCAGGAGAAAGGGGAAAGAUGAGGAUAAUGAUGUUAACAGAAGGAGAUUGGACAGCCAUGAUAAUGAAGAUGGUUCUGCUGAUAAAGAGCUUGAGGCUAGUUAGGGAGAAUCUCAAGAAGAUAGCAUGGAGGAUCUAAUCAGAGACGGUUCACCCAAUGAGGAGGUAAUGGCUGAGAUGACUGUUCCUCUAGCUGCUUACCAUCCUGAUUUUGGUAUAGUGAGGCUAGAAGGUAAGCCGAUGCAAGAUAAUGAGGAGGGUACAGAGGCUGCAAACAUUGUACUUCCUAUGGUAGAAACCUUCUAUGAUCACUCUGAUAGCUUCUACAGUCCUGUGGGGGACUCAGUGACUAAAAAAAUCUGAUUAAUGGCGCUGUGGAGGAGACGGUGACCCAAGAUAGUCAAACUUCAGGGAUUUCCACACCUGGGCAGCAUGAGCCACCUGAGCAGAGGAAAAAGGACCUGCCUGUUGGAAAAAUAUUAGUGCACAAUCAAGAGGGAGAGUACUUCUUGGAUGCUGAUAAGUGGCCUACUUUGAAGAUUGUUGAUACUACUCAAGACCCAAUCCUUACACAGGAAGAGGAUCUAAUGGAUUCUACUUCUAUCCAAUUGGAGGAACAGACUGAUAAAGAAGACUCUCAGGAGUGGGAGUGGGAGAUCCUUACACAGGAAGAUGAUCUAAUGGAUUCUACUUCUAUCCAAUUGGAGGAACAGACUGAUAAAGAAGACUCUCAGGAGUGGAAGUGGGAGAUACAGAAACAAAAGAAGAAAAAAGGAAGGCAGCUCAAGAAGAGACCUCCGGUUGUAGCCACUAGAACUAGUGCAAGGGUGCCUAGGGAUGGUGUGUCUAUUGCAGCAAAGGCUGCUGCCUGAGCACAGAAGAGAGAUAAUGACUUGCAAGAGAUGGCGGCCGCUGCUGGAAGAAGCUGAUCAAACAGCGAUCACAAGCUUAGAUGAGAAGAUGAAGACUUGGUUGCAUAAUUUCACGCCAAGCAAAGUAGCAGUCUCGAAUAUUAUGGAGCUUUGAGUGUUUUUUCUUCCUAGACUUAGCCUCUAUGUUGAGUACUUGUAUUUGUUAGAUGGGUAACCCCCAUAAGUCUGUACUGAAACCUUUUAUCAGCUUUCAAGAAAAGCAGAGUUAUCUCCUUUCAAAAAAAAAAAA